rnacentral:rRNA from 1 species
AAGCCAACUUUUUCGGCCGAAAGCCGAAUGAUGAUGACUCUGGGUAAUUACUUUGAUCACAUUGCUACGUGAACAGGUGACAGCGACUUCAAGCACCUGACCUAUCAACUUGUGUUGGCAGUUGAUGUUACUACCCCGGUUGUUACGGGUGACGGGAAAUCGGGGUUUUAUUCCGGAGAGAGAGCAUGAGAAAUGGCUGUCACAUCCAAGGAUGGCAGCAGGCGCGCAAAUUACCCAAUUCCCGAACGGAGAGGUAGUGACGAGAAAUAGCGAGGUCGUGGCCUUUUGGUCCGACAAUUGAAAUGAGAACACUUGAACGACGUUAUCGAGAAUCUAUUGGAGGGCAAGUUCUGGUGCCAGCAGCCGCGGUAAUUCCAGCUCGAAGAGCGUAUGUCAAAGUUGCUGCGGUUAAAACGCUCGUCGUUGGACAUCGGGAAGUGGACCGUGGACGGCCAAGUGCUGUUACCACGUGCCCGCUCCUAGAACUACGCUUGUCUCUUGAGAUGCGCUUUGUUGUGUGUCUCGGUGAAGAGCCACUGUCACCUUGAGAAACCCAGUGUGCUCAAUGCAGGCCGACUGCCCGAAUUACGCUGCAUGGGAUGAUGAGAUGGGGUCUCGGCUCCGUUUCGUUGGUUUACGUAAGCAGAGAACAUGAUUAAUCGGGACAGACGGGGGCAUUCGUAUUGCGGUGCUAGAAGUGAAAUUCUGUGACCAUCGCAAGACGAACAACUGCGAAAGCAUUUGCCAAGAAUGUUUUCGUUA